rnacentral:rRNA from 1 species
AUACGGAAGGUCCGGGCGUUAUCCGGAUUUAUUGGGUUUAAAGGGAGCGCAGGCGGAGAUGCAAGCGUGACGUCAAAUUUCGGGGCUCAACCCCGUCUCGCGUCGCGAACUGCGUCCCUUGGUUGCGGGAAGGGGAGGCGGAACUCGUGGUGUAGCGGUGAAAUGCAUAGAUAUCACGAAGAACUCCGAUCGCGAAGGCAGCCGUCCGGUCCGUCAACGACGCUCAUGCUCGAAGGUGCGGGUAUCAAACAGGAUUAGAUACCCUGGUAGUCCGCACAGUAAACGAUGGACACCCGCGGUUUGGCCUGUAUGGCUGAGCCGCCAAGCGAAAGCGUUAAGUGUCCCACCUGGGGAGUACGCCGGCAACGGUGAAACUCAAAUGAAUUGACGGGG